rnacentral:rRNA from 1 species
GGCGUGCCUAUACAUGCAAGUCGAGCGAACCAAUAAGAAGCUUGCUUUUUGUUGGUUAGCGGCGGACGGGUGAGUAACACGUGGGUAACCUGCCUGUAAGACCGGGAUAACUCCGGGAAACCGGUGCUAAUACCGGAUAGAUUAUCUUUCCGCCUGGAGAGAUAAGGAAAGAUGGCUUUUGCCAUCACUUACAGAUGGGCCCGCGGCGCAUUAGCUAGUUGGUGAGGUAACGGCUCACCAAGGCGACGAUGCGUAGCCGACCUGAGAGGGUGAUCGGCCACACUGGGACUGAGACACGGCCCAGACUCCUACGGGAGGCAGCAGUAGGGAAUCUUCCGCAAUGGACGAAAGUCUGACGGAGCAACGCCGCGUGAGUGAAGAAGGUCUUCGGAUUCGUAUAAAAGGCUCUUGGUUUGUUUAGGGGAAAGAACCAAGUAAUUCGGAGGAAAUUGCCCGGUACCCUUGACCGGUACCUUGACGAGAAAGCCACGGACUAACUACGUGCCCAGCAGGCCGGCGGUAAUACAGUAGGUGGGCAAGGCGUUGUCCGGGAUUUUAUUGGGCGUAAAGCGCGCGCAGGCGGUCCUUUAAGUCUGAUGUGAAAAUCUUGCGGCUCAACCCGCAAGCGGUCAUUGGAAACUGGGGGACUUGAGUGCAGAAGAGGAAAGCGGAAUUCCACGUGUAGCGGUGAAAAUGCGUAGAGAUGUGGAGGAACACCAGUGGCGAAGGCGGCUUUCUGGUCUGUAACUGACGCUGAGGCGCGAAAGCGUGGGGAGCAAACAGGAUUAGAUACCCUGGUAGUCCACGCCGGAAAACGAUGAGUGCUAAGUGUUGGAGGGGUUCCGCCCUUCAGUGCUGCAGCUAACGCAUUAAGCACUCCGCCUGGGGAGUACGGUCGCAAGACUUGAAACUCAAAGGAAUUGACGGGGGCCCCCCACAAGCCGUGGAGCAUGUGGUUUAAUUCGAAGCAACGCGAAGAACCUUACCAGGUCUUGACAUCUCCUGACCGCCCUGGAGACAGGGUCUUCCCUUCGGGGACAGGAUGACAGGUGGUGCAUGGUUGUCGUCAGCUCGUGUCGUGAGAUGUUGGGUUAAGUCCCGCAACGAGCGCAACCCUUGGUUCUAGUUGCCAGCAUUCAGUUGGGCACUCUAGAGCGACUGCCGGCGACAAGUCGGAGGAAGGUGGGGAUGACGUCAAAUCAUCAUGCCCCUUAUGACCUGGGCUACACACGUGCUACAAUGGAUGGUACAAAGGGCAGCGAAGCGGCGACGCAUGAGCGAAUCCCAGAAAACCAUUCUCAGUUCGGAUUGCAGGCUGCAACUCGCCUGCAUGAAGCCGGAAUCGCUAGUAAUCGCGGAUCAGCAUGCCGCGGUGAAUACGUUCCCGGGCCUUGUACACACCGCCCGUCACACCACGAGAGUUUGUAACACCCGAAGUCGGUGAGGUAACCGUAAGGAGCCAGCCGCCGAAG